CUGCCUCUUUCUCUGAACAGCUCCUCUCCGCCUUCGGUCUCUCUCGGCCUGGCCUCUGGGCUGGUGUGGAGUGGCGCACAGGCCGGGGCAGUCAGAGGGCGGGCGCGGCCCGGGGAGGAAACGCGUCUGAGUCACGGUGUGGCGGUGCAGCCUGGAGGGUGCUCCGCUUGUCGGUUUGACUCCUGUCCCAGGCAAAGGUAGACGGCUGCCUGACAGACAGGCCUGGUCACAGCAGGUUACAAUGAACUGUGUCAUCCGCGCACACCGGGCAAUUUCCUUUUUGAGUCACUUUUCAGCUACGAAUGAAUCAUACUCCACCUCCGUUCCAGCCUGAUCUUCCAAGCCCUUAGGGUCACGCCUGGAGAGGGGCCACCCGCCGUUGCAGCUGCUGUCUUCACCCUGCGGACUCCAGUUUCUGAAACUUGAAGGUUUUUCAGUCUUUGGCAAUCUUCCGUUUAAACUGAGUGUCUUCAGCAAAGGGCUUUACUUCAGGAUCAGUGAUGUGGGUCACAGUGGGAAGGGCAGAAGGGAAUGUCAGCGGGCAUCAUGGAAAUGGAAAAGACCGGAGGAAAAGUAUUUCUGAUUCAUUGUCCUUGCAUCCCCACGCACUGCCGAGCUGAGACUGUCCCUCAGUCACCCAACUAUCCAUUGCAGGAGGAAUGAAGUCCACCUUCAUCACCCCUGUGGCCGGGUGCCCCAGUCCGUUCCUACUCUCCUUGGCCACCUUAUCUUUUAGCCUACUGUGCUUCAACUUACUCUGUGCUGAAUUCAGCCAGGCUGCCUCUCCUUACUUUGUUCCCUUUGCUGCCUUUGUUCUUGUAGCUGGUGACUUUUCUUUUCUUUUCUUUUCUUUUCUUUUUCUCUUCCCUUCUCUUCUCUUCUCUCUUCCUUUCCUCUCUCUCUCUCUCUCUUUCUGCAUUUUCUCAUUUCUUCUCUCUCUUUUCUAGUUGUUGAAAUCCUAAUCAUUUUUCAAAGACCACCCAGCUAUUUUACAAAACUCCCCCAACCCUUUCAGUCCAUACUGACCAUUCACUCUCCAUGGCACCUGUUUUUUUCCUGAGUAUAACCUCUUGCAGUGUUCCACUAUCCAUGCUAUUUGAAGGCAGGGGCCUUGAUGUGUUUGUCUUUAUAGAUUCUGUUGCCAGUGAACAAGUGGCUGGAACAUUAAUACGAACCCAAUAAAUGGGGGCUGAGUUGUUGCUCCAGUUCUGGUUUUCCUGGGGACUAAUGAUCUGCAGAGCAUGAACAGAGGGGAUCAAAAGUGGCAAGUGGCUGUAACACUGCCUCCCUCUAGGCUGGAGGACUUUCUGCUUUCCAAAAAUGUGAAGGCUUCCACCUUCAUCCAAAUGGUUCCUAGAGAACCAAAUGAUGGGGACCUCUUGCAUGGCUCACUCUUGCCACCCAGCAUUUACUUAGUUUCAGAAUGACAAAGUUGAAGGUAUGUGGAUUUAACCUGGUUCAUAUUUCAGCCAAAUACCAGAUCUCUGUAUCCUGUCCAUUCUCAGUGGUUUGCUCAGAGAAGGUUGGAGUCACAGCCACUUCCAGCAAGGGGCUCAUCCAUACCAGGUCACUUGACAGUUUUCUAAAAUGGGGCUUGCAGAGAAAAGGAAGAGACUUUUCCUAGCCAAACUCUUAUGAAAAUAUGAAAGGGGUCCAGCCACUUGGAAAGACACUCCAACACCAUCACUGAGCACACUUGUUCUUCAGGAGGAACAAGAAUACUGGAAUCUAUCUCUUAAGAUUGAACAAUGUCUGAAAAAGCAAAAUGAAGCAAAACAAAAUUAAUGAUAAAUUUCUGUACUGUUUUAAAAAACUGAAUUUUGUAUUUUUAAAUCUGCUUAUAAGGAGCUUUACUAAUUAAAUAGUUAUACUUAAUAGUUUAAUAGUUUUGAUCAAGAUGGGAGUUCAGUAUAUAUUGUUAAACAUCAAUAUUGGUUACAAAAAUGCAAAGAUAUUUACAAUGUAAAGAAUUAAUCCAUGAAGUUUUCAUGGCUGACUGUAAUAUUUUUCCCUCAGAGGACAGAUGAUGAAGGAAGAACUAGGAGGGAGAGGUCAGCCCUUCACAACUCUUGUCUAUUGGCCUUAGAAAAUAGAUGAUGUGUCCAUCAGAUACAGCCAAUUUAUCAGAAGACAAUAAUGAUUAUGGUGUCCUUUUCAAAAACACGAUAACAUCCUUUGGAGAUACAUCUGUGCAUUGAGUGUGCUAUGGAUGUCGUUUUCAGAAAAUUUUUUUAUAUCUUCUUGUCCUAGGCAUCCUAAGCACUAUUUUAAUUCCUUCAGAGGGUGAAGGGAACUUGUAUGAUGCACUUUUGGACUAUAGAAUUGUUAUUUUGUCUUUCCUUCGUCCAUACAUUCCAUCUGUGACUCUGUAGAAUCUUUUGUUGGAGCCAUUGCCUGGGGCUGAUUAAUUGCCACUUCACCCAGAGUGCCAUGAACUCUCAAGAUAAGGCUUGAGAUAAAAUGGAAAACAUCAAAGCUAAGCAUACAUUCACACUCUGCAAACCACAGAGCGCAUUCACAUGGCAUAGGCACACGUGGGUGUGCACACGACUAUCAGCCUCCUUGAUUGAUUGGGUAAAGUGGCAGGCAGAGGUGUAUGUAUCUGCGGAGUCACAAAUGGUGAGCUGAGCAGCACCUGCUGUCCUGUGAUGUGGCCAUUUGUCUUAAAAGGCCAGUGAGAGAGACAGAGACCUGAAUCCCUGAACCUUUGGAGAACUCUGAACAGCAGGGGCACCCUGGUGGAACAAAGGGCCUCCCGACAUAUGUGAGGGCUGCUUUUCGUCAACCAGGUAUCACAUUCCGGCCACAGCAUGACAGACAAAUGCCAGGCCAGAUGAGGAGAUACAAUCUGCUGAACCUGAUGCUCCUAUACCUGGGUCUUGUGAGGGGAGCAGAUGCUGUGUCAGUAUGGAUGCAGGUGUGAAAAUAGGGGGAGAAAAGCCCCAAUACAAAAGUCCAGAGGCUCUAGGGGAGGCUCACUUUUCGAAGUUAUUGAUCCUAACUCUCGUGUAACAUAAAUCUUGUCUGUGCGGUGUUGUGUUGAAAUUUUCUGGCAGAAGAAGCCUGAGGGAAGAUUUGACGUUAGAAACUGAAGGCCACUACGACAGUGUGCCUUUUCUCUCAUGACUCCUAUCAUCAUACUCGAUGGAGGGACCUUAUUUAUAGUUUGGGUAUACUUGGGUGGGUCAUAGGAGAGACUCACCCGGUGAGCUUGUUACUCCUUGACUAUCUCACUGUCUCAGAAACUUGACUUUCUUAGCAAGGAAGCCCAAGCCUACAUCACACAAGAGGUUGGGUGCUCUACUCAUGGCCUUGAAGAUGUCUGCUGUCCACCUACUGGAUAAUUUGUGAGAUCAGAAUUCAAAAGUUUCUUAAUUCUCUAGUUGUUUUUAUACACACAUUAUUUGUUGAGCAUCUUCUAUAUGUUAGUGUACUCUCUGCUUAGAUGAAAUGCCUAGCAUCUGCGUAAUAAAGAAAAUAUUAACGAAAGUUUGAUAAUAAAGACUCUGCUUACUUCUAAGGUAAAUACCAGCUCCUUCCUGGAACAUGGAAGCAUCUAAAGGGGAAGUUUGCAGCUUCAGAAAAUGUUCAAAUCUGCUUAUCAGUGGGAGGACUGAUGUUGCUUCUCCUACAUCUGGUUCCUUUCCCUUCCCCUAUCUUUCUUCUUAGUAAUAAUAUUGUAAUUCUGACUGCCUUCUCUUAGAGUUUGC
ensembl:lncRNA